AACUUAGUAGUAAAAGCCUAAUUAAAUCCAAUAACAUUAAGAAGGAUAAGUUUUUUAAUUAGUCAAGGCAAAUUAAUAAUUAAUUCAACCCCCCCCCCCUUCUUAAUUAUUUUGAGGCCACUCGAUCCAAGACCUUUUUCUUUUCAUCGAAGUUAUUUCACAAAGGCUUGCCAUGGUAAAGGAGAAUGGAGAACAAGUAUACAUGGAGAAUGAUUAGCCAUACUAGACUGAGACACAACCUAGAAUCCUAACGGAGCUAACAAAGGGGAAUUUUCCAUAAUAGGAAAAAGCUUGACAAACCAAUGUCGCAUGAAGAUAGAAGGCAUAUGGGUCAUGAACCUUUUUUCCAAGAUAAAAAGAAAUGACAGUAUUUGGGUAAUAAGUAUCAACUAACUCUGUGCCAACAACCACAAUAAGACAGAGGAUGCAAGCGUUAUUUGGAAUGAUUAGGCAUAAAGCGUCUGUGGGUAGAUUUUUGAGUUUUCCAUUUCU
rfam:Glycine soja cultivar W05 scaffold5645_4, whole genome shotgun sequence.